AUUGAACGCUGGCGGCAGGCCUAACACAUGCAAGUCGAACGAGUGGCGGACGGGUGAGUAAUGUCUGGGAAACUGCCAGAUGGAGGGGGAUAACUACUGGAAACGGUAGCUAAUACCGCAUACCAUCGGAUGUGCCCAGAUGGGAUUAGCUAGUAGGUGGGGUAACGGCUCACCUAGGCGACGAUCCCUAGCUGGUCUGAGCGGAUGACCAGCCACACUGGAACUGAGCCACGGUCCAGACUCCUACGGGAGGCAGCAGUGGGGAAUAUUGCACAAUGGGCGCAAGCCUGAGGCAGCCAUGCCGCGUGUAUGAAGAAGGCCUUCGGGUGGUAAAGUACUUUCAGCGAGGAGGCGUUACCCGCAGAAGAAGCACCGGCUAACUCCGUGCCAGCAGCCGCGGUAAUUC
rnacentral:rRNA from 1 species